UACAGAGGUCUCGAGCGUUGUUCGGAUUUAUUGGGCGUAAAGGCGCGUAGGCGGAUGGCUUUGUCGGGCGUGAAAUUCCAGGGCUUAACCUUGGGGCUGCGUUCGAGACGGGUUGUCUUGAGUGGGGAAGAGGGUCGUGGAAUUCCCAGUGUAGAGGUGAAAUUCGUAGAUAUUGGGAAGAACACCGGUGGCGAAGGCGGCGCCUGGUCCUUUACUGACGCUGAGGCGCGAAAGCGUGGGAGCAAACAGG
rnacentral:rRNA from 1 species